AUUCAUAACGUGAGACUCGAGUGAGCAACACACAUUUUUCUAAACGUGAUCGCGACGAAUAGAAAAUGUUAUAAACGCGAUUAUUCUCUACAAUUAUUAUAAUUAAUGAUUAAUGAAUCAGUGUCGGGAGUGUUGAUAUCGCGCUUUAACAAAAAACGAAGGCCAAAUAUAACUGUCACCUUGUUGUCAUUUGCGCGGCGACACUCGAGCGAGACAGCAGACAUUCCGUCGUAUUAUCUCUACUAAAACGAGACGUUAAAUAUAACGUUAUAAAUGCGAUAAUAUUCAUAUACAUUACUGUAGCACCGAAUGACAUCGUGUGAAACUAACCGCGCUGACAGUAGAGUGUGAAGUUGACCGGAUUUUCAUAUCGAACGUUGCGCCGUCAUGUGUCGUGUACAAAGUACUACGCGAUCAUUUAUAUUUUAUUGAUUAAUGCGCGCGUGAUCGUAAUUAAUCGUGUUUUUACGAGUGAGUGAGAAUGGAAAAACAACAAAGUAUAAAGGAGGAGACUCGAGGAGGCAUCGGGCAACAGCGGAACAAUCGUAACAAGGUAGAACGUGUAUCCCGAUGUUACACAGCGCACGUCAGCAAGAUCUGACUUAACCAGUGUGGCACGGCCUCGAGAACUCGAUUCCGUAAGAAAAGGAUGGUGGACACACUCUCCGCGAUCCCGUUUUGAGAAUACGUGUGUGUGCGCACGGAUAUAACAUCCGACAAUAUAAUAAAUGAUUUCCCAUAGCCAAGAAUCAUUUUUGGUUACAAAUAGCAUGUGCAUCCAAUAAUACGGUUAUUUGAGUUUUCAUAUGUUGCGAUGCAUAAAAAUGCGCAAUAGUAUAUUGUCGUAUACAAUGGAUACGAUAAUUUAGAGAGAAUCAAGUACGAAAUUACAUUCGUGCUCGGAGUAAGUGAAUAAUACAUUUUUGGACCGUCGUCCAAAUCCCAGUUAUUU